rnacentral:rRNA from 1 species
AUUGAACGCUGGCGGCAGGCCUAACACAUGCAAGUCGAACGAGUGGCGGACGGGUGAGUAAUGUCUGGGAAAAUGCCCGAUGGAGGGGGAUAACUACUGGAAACGGUAGCUAAUACCGCAUACCAUCGGAUGUGCCCAGAUGGGAUUAGCUAGUGGGUGGGGUAACGGCUCACCUAGGCGACGAGACCUAGCUGGGAUGAGAGGAUGACCCGCCACACUGGAACUGAGACACAGUCCAGACUCCUACGGGAGGCAGCAGUGGGGAAUAUUGCACAAUGGGCACAAGCCGGAUGCAGCCAUGCCGCUUGUAUGAAGAAGGCCUUCGGGUUGUAAAGUACUUUCAGCGAUGAGGCGUUACUCGCAGAAGAAGCACCGGCUAACUCCGUGCCGGCCGCCGCGGUAAUAC